CAUAGCUCCUCUCUCCUCCACACCAAAAUAUAUGAGAUUAAUGUAUUUUAGCGGAAUGAAUGCACAAUCAAAUCAAGGAAAUCUGAUUCCCUCAUUCCACAUAAUAGUAUCUAGGAUAUUUGAUUUGUAUGUCACAGCUGAAUGGCUUAAGUACCAAACCUAACUACACUAUGAUCCAAGUUCGGGGACAUGGUGUUCAAGUGAUCGAUUGUGAAGAAAAACUAGCAAGCAAGUGUUAUAAAUAAUUAAUACUUGGCACUGAGGUUUUAAAUUGCAGUAAUGUGAUGAUUCUUUAUAUUGCGGAGAAUCGGGAUCGGAGGCAACUGAUGCAAACUCAAUUGCAGCCAAAGACUUUUUGUGAAAUAUGUCUUAUAUAUGCUUAAACUUUACAGCCAAAGACUUUUAGAUUUUGGACUCAUUUGAUAACAUGAGUUAAAGAAUCUGGCUUGUCAUGCCCAAUUCAUUUGAAUGUCAUCAUAUGUAUAGGUUUGUUGUCCUCAUUCUUCUAAAGUAUUAAUUUUUCUUUAUCACUUUGCAUUCUUAGGAAACCACUUGACAUGUGCACGUGAUUUAUCUUUCCCAACUCUUAGGAUCUUUGUUUAGAGUUAGAAGAAGGGCAAAGCUUGCAAAAAGAGUUUUGGCUAGAAGGAUAAUGUACUAAGGGCUUGUUUGGAUUAACUUAUUUGAGUUUAUACACUAUCAUAACUACAUAAGUACUUGUGUGAUUGUUUGAGACAAUUUAUGAAAACAGCUUAUGACAUCUUUGUAAGCUGUUUUCAGCUUAUUUAUGUAAUCUUUCAAAUAUAGUUUACGAAAA